ACUCCUACGGGAGGCGAGCAGUGGGAAUAUUGGCACAAUGGGCGCAAGCCUGAUGCAGCCAUGCCGCGUGUGUGAAGAAGGCCUUCGGGUUGUAAAGCACUUUCAGUCGUGAGGAAGGUAGUGUAGUUAAUAGCUGCAUUAUUUGACGUUAGCGACAGAAGAAGCACCGGCUAACUCCGUGCCAGCAGCCGCGGUAAUACGGAGGGUGCGAGCGUUAAUCGGAAUUACUGGGCGUAAAGCGCAUGCAGGUGGUUUGUUAAGUCAGAUGUGAAAGCCCGGGGCUCAACCUCGGAAUUGCAUUUGAAACUGGCAGGCUAGAGUACUGUAGAGGGGGGUAGAAUUUCAGGUGUAGCGGUGAAAUGCGUAGAGAUCUGAAGGAAUACCGGUGGCGAAGGCGGCCCCCUGGACAGAUACUGACACUCAGAUGCC
rnacentral:rRNA from 1 species